rnacentral:rRNA from 1 species
CACGUAGGCUGUAGUGUAAGUCAGGGGUGAAAUCCCACGGCUCAACCGUGGAACUGCCUUUGAUACUGCACAACUUGAAUCCGGGAGAGGGUGGCGGAAUUCCAGGUGUAGGAGUGAAAUCCGUAGAUAUCUGGAGGAACAUCAGUGGCGAAGGCGGCCACCUGGACCGGUAUUGACGCUGAGGAGCGAAAGCCAGGGGAGCGAAC